GCUUAAUGCAGGCUUUGGAACCAGGUGACCUCAGACCUCAGUCUGCAUCUCAGCUCUGCCAGUUGUUUGCUGUGUGACUGUAGAAGGUCUUUUUCAUACUGUGACAGAAGCCAGAGCAGCUCACCUUCCUGCAUGUCUACCACCGUGGCCCCAUGCCCUUCACCUGGUGGGCUAGAGUCAAAUAGGUACCAGGUGGCCAAGCCUUCUUCAUCGGGAUGCUUAACUCCUUGGUCCAUGCCUUCCUGCACCUGUCCUACCUGGCCAGUCUGGGCCCACGCUUGCAUCCCUACCUGUGGUCGAAGCGACAUCCUACCAUCCUACAGCUGGCAGGGAAACCCCAUUGGCUCCAGGGUUCUAUUCUUGGCUACACCAG